rnacentral:lncRNA from 1 species
AUUCUCCAAAAGAUAAAAGGAAACUAGAAGAGAAGAAUGGACGCAUCUCGCUCAUAUGAAAAUGACUCUGAACACGUAACAUCUUGUCCUUCCUGUUUCCCCUUGUAAUCCACUGUGCUGUGAUUGUAGUCUGUUUCCUGUAUUUAUAUCCUGUUUUGAUAAAGAUACUCUUACAACUGUGCCAUGGUCCUAGUUUCCUAGAGCAGCAUUUUGUUUCUGAAUUACUAAAGGUAAUUGUCCCCUUCAAAGCUUGCAGCCAGACUAGCAGACUCUAGGAAACUAAACCAUUCGC